rnacentral:rRNA from 1 species
CGUAGCUAACGCAUUAAGUGCCCCGCCUGGGGAGUACGGCCGCAAGGCUAAAACUCAAAGGAAUUGACGGGGGCCCGCACAAGCGGCGGAGCAUGCGGAUUAAUUCGAUGCAACGCGAAGAACCUUACCAAGGCUUGACAUGAACCGGUAAUACCUGGAGACAGGUGCCCCGCUUGCGGUCGGUUUACAGGUGGUGCAUGGUUGUCGUCAGCUCGUGUCGUGAGAUGUUGGGUUAAGUCCCGCAACGAGCGCAACCCUCGUUCUAUGUUGCCAGCACGUGAUGGUGGGGACUCAUAGGAGACUGCCGGGGUCAACUCGGAGGAAGGUGGGGACGACGUCAAAUCAUCAUGCCCCUUAUGUCUUGGGCUUCACGCAUGCUACAAUGGCCGGUACAAAGGGUUGCGAUACUGUGAGGUGGAGCUAAUCCCAAAAAGCCGGUCUCAGUUCGGAUUGGGGUCUGCAACUCGACCCCAUGAAGUCGGAGUCGCUAGUAAUCGCAGA